rnacentral:lncRNA from 1 species
CCUGCUUUUUCUUUCAUUCAAGAAUUGUAUCUUUUGGUUUUCAAUUCUAGUGUUUAUAUUUCAUCAUCAUAGAUGUGUUUUUUCCACUGCCUAGAAGUAUUAUUUUUUCCUUCUAUUUGAUCGGUAAACCGGGAAUUAAACCCCGGAAUCUGAUCCGGUAUUGUAAUAUUUUUUAUGGCAUCCAUUGUUUUUCAACGUUGUUUUUGUCAGUCAGAUACGAUUUUACUCGGAUUUACACAUUACUGGUUGUCGAUUUUCGGUAUUAACCUAGCGGUUGAAUAAAAUGAACAUCACUGUCAUGAAUAAUAAAGAUGAAAAUAAAUUUUGAGAUCGUUUGGAAAUUUUGGUUAAAAAGGUCGGCAAAGUCAAAUUUUAUUUUCUUUCAAAUCAAAGGUCCGUCGGCGUAGGCAGUAAUCAAAACGAAGGUCCGAUUGCAAAAGUGGAAGGUCGCGGACCUCGGACCACCGCUAAUUUGAACCCCUGA